UUUAAUAUACUUCAAUGUAAUUGGGUCAGAUCCAGAGGGAAGGUUAGGAGAAGCUCCACGUCCCGAGCUUCGUGAACAUGGGAGGAUCUCAGGUGCUUGCUUUGAUGCAGCUCGUGGAAUCAUUCCUGGGCUUAAGGUUAAAGGAACGGACUAUAAGACACCAGAUGGGACAUGCAUUCAGGAUUAUAUUGACGUUACUGAUCUUGUAGACGCGCAUGUUAAAGCACUAGAGAAGGCAACUCCUGGGAAUGUUGGAAUUUACAAUGUGGGCACUGGGAGAGGUAGAUCCGUGAAGGAGUUUGUGGAUGCCUGUAAGAAAGCAACGGGGGUAUCAAUUAAGGUCGACUACCUUUCCCGCCGACCAGGUGAUUA